UUGGGUUUUGUGUGGCAAGGUUUUGGUAGCGGGAGGGGCUACAGGGGUGGCUUCUGUGAGAAGUUGCUAGAAGCUUCCCCUGUGUCUGAUAGAGCCAAUGCCAGCCGGCUCCAAGAUGGAUCCGCCCCUGGCCAAGGCCAAGCCAAUCAGCGCCUCUGUGAUAACAUAUUUAAGAAGGAAAACAAAGGCGUUAAAGGAAGUUUUUGCAACCAGAGAGAGGAGCGAGAAGAUGUAAGAAACUCUGCAGACACUAAGGUCAGUGAGGAAGGAGGGGGAGGAGGUGCUCCAGACACCAGAGCAAAGAUCCCCCUGCAGCCCGUGGUGAAAACCAUGGUGAGGCAGGCUGUCCCCUGCAGCCCAUGGAGGAAGGAUGAGGGGGUGUAGAGAUUCUACCUGCAGCCCGUGGAGGACCCCACGCUGGAGCAGGUGGAGGCACCUGAAGGAGGCUGUGGCCCGUGGGAAGCCCACGCUGGAGCAAGUCCGGGCCGGACCGGUAGACCCGUGAAGAGGGGAGCCCACGCCAGGGCAGGUUUGCUGGCAGGACGUGUGACCCUGUGGGAGGGACCCAACGCUGGAGCAGUCUGCUCCUGAAGGUCUGCACCCUGUGGGAGAGACUACGCUGGAGCGGUUUGUGAAGGACUGUAGCCCGUGGGAGAGACUCCAUGUUGGAGCAGGGGAAUGUUGAGAGGAGUCCUCCCCCUGAGGACAAAGAAGUGGCAGAGACAAUGUGUGCUGAACUGACCGCAACCCCCAUUCCCUGCCCCCUUGUGCCGCUGAGGGGGGAGGAGGUUGAAGCCGGGAGUGAAGUUGAGCCCGAGAAGAUGGGAGGGGUGGGGGGAAGUGUUUUAAGACUUGAUUGUAUUUUCUCAUUGCUCUACUCUGUUUUGCCUAGUAAUAAAUUAGAUGAAUCUCCUCUCUA